rnacentral:tRNA from 1 species
GCAUUGGUGGUUUAGUGGUAGAAUUCUUGCCUUCCGUGCGGGAAGACCUGGGUUUGAUUCCCAGCCAGUACA